rnacentral:tRNA from 1 species
GGCGCUGUGGCUUAGUUGGUUAAAGCGCCUGUCUAGUAAACAGGAGAUCCCUGGUUCGAAUCCGGGCAGUGCCU